ACUAAACAAUUCAUGAAUGUUCUAGGUUCUAGAAAGCAAAGUUUAACUUGAACACUUAUACACAUGAGGAAGUCAAAUCAAACUUAAACUCUUACACACAUAAAUAUCCUAGGAAGCCAAGUUCAACAUGAACACUUACACACAUGAGGAAGUCAAGUCAAACUUAAACUCUUACUUGCCACCUAAGUAUUUCUAGAAUUCUCUUUAUAAAUGUUCAGCAUUAAUUGCAACACUCCUCCUUGAUGCACAUUUCUGUUACUCCAAUCUUGCUUCUUAGUAAUUUGAAUUUGCUUCGAGGUAGUGCCUUGGUGAAGAUGUUCGCUAAUUGCUCUUCAAUCUUGCAGUAUUUGAUUGCAAUUUCUUUAUUCGCCUCAGCUUCAUGGAUGAAGUGAUAUUUUCUUUUUAUGUGUUUUGUCCUGUUAUGGAACAUUGGGUUCUUCACCAUUGCUAUUGCUGACUUGUUUCAUUUUGUAGUUCUCCAAAAUCUUCACAUAUAUAUUUGAGCCAUAAUGCUUGACUUAUGGCAUAUGCAGUUGCAAUAUAUUCUGCCUCUGCAGAUGAUUUUACAACUGUUGCUUGCUUCUUUGAUGCCCAAGAGAAAAUGCCAGAGCCAAGAGUGAACACAUAGCCUGAAGUGCUUCUCAUGUCAUCUGCUAAUCCUGACCAGUCACUAUUUAUGAAUCCAAGCAAUUGUGAAUUAGAAAUGGGUCUAUACCAUAUACCAUAAUCUUUAUUUCCUUGUAGAUAUCUGAGUAUUCUUUUUGCAACUCCAUAAUGCACUUGUGUUGGAUUCUGCAUGAACCUUGAUAGCAAACUUGUUGCAUACAUGAUGUCUGGUCUAGUAGUUGUUAAAUAUAGGAGACUUCCAAUGAGACUUCGAAAUGUCGAGCUAUUAGCUGGUGGUGAUCCAUCUUCUUUCUUCAUUGUCUGACAAUUGUCAAGUGGUGUUGCUACAGUUUUGCAACCACUCAUCUUGAAUUUUUUUAAUAAUACCUUAAGUAUAUUUCUUUUGAGAAAUAAAUAUUCAUUCAUCACAUUGGUAUGUCUCAAUUUCGAGAAAGUAGUGCAUCAAGCCCAAGUCAGUCAUUUCAAAUGUCUUCAUCAUCUCUUUUUUAAAUUCCUCAAUUAUUUUCUCAUUGUUUCUUGCAUAUAUAAGACCAUCAACAUAUAAAGAAACAAUAAGAGUGUUGUCUGUACCUUGUGUCUUGAUGUAUAGUGUAGGCUCACUAUAGCUCCUUCUGAAUCUUUGCUUGAUGAAAUAGGGGUCAAUUCGGCUGUACCAGGCUUGAGAAGCUUGUUUUAGUCCGUAUAAGGCCUUCUUUAAUCUUAGCGCUUUAUUUUCUUGUCCUUGUACCAUGAACCCAUGUGGCUGCUCAAUGUAAAUUUCUUCUUCCAAAUAACUAUUAAAGAAUGCAGACUUCACAUCUAAUUGAUAUAUUUUCCACCUCUUUUAAGCAGCUAAUGCUAGGAGCUCCCUUAUAAUGUCGAGAUGAGCAACAGGAGCAAAUGUUUCAUUUUAGUCAAUUCCAAAUUGCUGCGAAUAUCCUUUUACUACUAGUUGAGCCUUAUGUUUUUGUAUCGAUCCAUCAGAGUUAAGCUUUGUCUUAUAUAUCCACUUAACUCUAAUGACAUCUUUGUUCGAAGGAUGAUCCAACAACUCCCAUGUUUUAUUCUUUUCGAUCAUUCUUAUCUCUUCUUCCAUUGCUUUGACCCAGACUUCACGUUUUGAAGCUUUUUCAAAACUCCCAGGCUCUACUAUGGCCAAGUUGCAUGAUUCAUAAAUCUCUGUUAAUAAUCGAGUUCUUCAAGGAGUUGAUUUUGGUGAUAAAUCCUCCGGCUCGAUUUGUUGCUGCAUUUGAUGAGUUGGAGAUUCUUGAUUUGUCUUCUGAGGUUCUUGAGUUUGGUCUGGCUCCUCCUCGCUUUGUUGUUCUAUUGCUGGUACAUAAAUUGUCUUCCUUUCAACUUCUUUGGUUUCCCAGUUGUAGGAUGCAUCUUCAUCAAAAUCAACAUCUCGACUGAUGAUUAAAUUGUUUGUUUCUAAGCAAUAGAUUCGAUAGCCUUUUGAUUGCAUGCUAUAGCCAAGAAACAUACCUUUUUUUGUCUUGUCAUCUAAUUUGCUUCUCUUUUCCUUUGCUAUGUGGGCAUAACAUAUGCACCCGAAAACUUUGAGAUGCUUUACUAAUGGUUUUCUCCCACUCCAAGCUUCAAUUGGUUUCUUGUUUUGAACUACUUUGGUUGGGCAUCUGUUUAGCAGAUAGACUGCAGUAGAGAUAGCUUCUGCCCAAAAACGAUUCGGGAGACCUUUAUCUUUCAGCAUUGUUCUAGCCAUCUCCAUGGCUGUUCUAUUUUUCCUUUCAGAUUCACCAUUUUGCUCUGGAGCGUAUCCGACUUGAUGGAGUAUGCAUUGGACCACAAACAUCGGUAUGAAUUAGCUUCAGCAGCUUCUUUGCUCUCCAUGCUGUGCCUGCCGGGAAAGGUUGCCGAUGCUGCUUGCCUUGUAAACAUGCUUCACACGUACCAUUGAUAUCUUCAAUAAUUGGUAAGUCACCCAUCAUGUUCUUUUGUCGAAGAAUCUUGAGGCCGUUGAAAUGAAAGUGACCAAAUCUCUUGUGCCAGAUCCAUGAGAUGUCUACUUAUGCCUUCAUAGCAGCUUCACUAGCAUAUUUCCAAUCUACUGGAAAAGAUCUGUUUCCUUUCAUCUUGAUUUUUACAAUCUCCAUAGUCUUAUUUGUCUUGUCAUAUAUUGUACAUGAAUCUCCUUCAAAGCGCAAAGAGUAUCCUUUCUCUAUCAUUUGUCCGACGCUGAGGAGAUUUUGAUUUAUUGAAGGGACUAAUAGUACAUCAGUAAUGCAUCGUUUAUCC